rnacentral:rRNA from 1 species
GACGAACGCUGGCGGCGUGCCUAACACAUGCAAGUCGAACGAGAAUCGAUGGAUUGAGACUUCGGUUGAUUGAAGUUGAGGAAAGUGGCGAACGGGUGAGUAACGCGUGAGAAACCUGCCUCUCAGUGGGGGACAACAGUUGGAAACGACUGCUAAUACCGCAUAACAUAUUCGGAAGGCAUCUUCUGAAUAUCAAAGCUUUAUGUGCUGAGAGAUGGUCUCGCGUCCAAUUAGAUAGUUGGUGGGGUAACGGCCCACCAAGUCGACGAUUGGUAGCCGGACUGAGAGGUUGAACGGCCACAUUGGGACUGAGACACGGCCCAGACUCCUACGGGAGGCAGCAGUGGGGGAUAUUGCACAAUGGGGGAAACCCUGAUGCAGCAACGCCGCGUGAAGGAAGAAGGUCUUCGGAUUGUAAACUUCUGUUUUUAGUGAAGAAACAAUGACGGUAGCUAAAGAGGAAGCCACGGCUAACUACGUGCCAGCAGCCGC